rnacentral:misc_RNA from 1 species
AAAAAAUCGAGUCGUCCAAAAUUUUGAGUUAGAAGCUUAUCAAAGUUCAUGUUCAAGCAGGCAGCUGUAAUAUCUAGCCCAGCUUAUUUUCAGAAUUCUGUGAUUUUGCCAUUGGGGUUGUUCUGCUAUAUAAUUCUUAAUCAGCUUCGUUGCCCACAGACAAGCUCGUGCAAGGGUCUAUGCAUGUGAUUGCACGUCUAUGUUAUGUGUGUACUAGUGAUGUUCAAUAGUUGUGAGAAAUUUAUUUAAGAGCUAACAGCACUCAGAAGUGUUCCUACAGAAACCCUCCUUUAUGGAAGAGGGAACAUAAUGGAAAACCAUUACUUGUAAGCGUUCAUACAAGACAU